rnacentral:rRNA from 1 species
AACGAACGCUGGCGGCAGGCUUAACACAUGCAAGUCGAGCGCCCCGCAAGGGGAGCGGCAGACGGGUGAGUAACGCGUGGGAAUCUACCCAUCUCUACGGAAUAACGCAUGGAAACGUGUGCUAAUACCGUAUACGUCCUUCGGGAGAAAGAUUUAUCGGAGAUGGAUGAGCCCGCGUUGGAUUAGCUAGUUGGUGGGGUAAAGGCCUACCAAGGCGACGAUCCAUAGCUGGUCUGAGAGGAUGAUCAGCCACACUGGGACUGAGACACGGCCCAGACUCCUACGGGAGGCAGCAGUGGGGAAUAUCGGACAAUGGGCGCAAGCCUGAUCCAGCCAUGCCGCGUGAGUGAUGAAGGCCCUAGGGUUGUAAAGUUCUUUCACCGGUGAAGAUAAUGACGGUAACCGGAGAAGAAGCCCCGGCUAACUUCGUGCCAGCAGCCGCCGUAACAC